rnacentral:rRNA from 1 species
CAGUAGCCGCGGUAAUACGAAGGGGGCUAGCGUUGUUCGGAUUUACUGGGCGUAAAGGGCGCGUAGGCGGAUUGUUAAGUCAUGGGUGAAAUGCCGGGGCUCAACCUCGGAACUGCCUUUGAUACUGGCGAUCUUGAGUCCGGGAGAGGUGAGUGGAACUGCGAGUGUAGAGGUGAAAUUCGUAGAUAUUCGCAAGAACACCAGUGGCGAAGGCGGCUCACUGGCCCGGAACUGACGCUGAGGCACGACAGCGUGGGGAGCAAACAGGAUUAGAUACCCGCGUAGUCCCUGUCUCUUAUGC